GACGAACGCUGGCGGCGUGCUUAACACAUGCCAGUCGAACGGUGAAGCGCCUUCCUUUUUGGUGGGUGUGGAUGAGUGGCGAACGGGUGAGUAACACGUGAGUAACCUGCCCCCUUCUUCUGGAUAACCGCAUGAAAGUGUGGCUAAUACGGGAUAUUCUGGGUCUGUCGCAUGAUGGGUCUGGGAAAGAUAUUGUUUCGGUGGGGGAUGGGCUCGCGGCCGAUCAGCUGGUUGGGGGGGUGAUGGCCUACCAAGGCGGGGACGGGUAGCCGGCCUGAGAGGGUGGCCGGUCACACGGGGACUGAGGCACGGUCCAGACUGCUACGGGAGGCAGCCGUGGGGAAUAUUGCACAAUGGGGGCAAGCGUGAUGCAGCGACGCCGCGUGAGGGAUGGAGGCCUUCGGGUUGUGAACCUCUUUCGCCAGUGAAGCAGGCCUGCCUCGUUUGUGGGUGGGUUGACGGUAGCUGGAUAAGAAGCGCCGGCUAACUACGUG
rnacentral:rRNA from 1 species